rnacentral:rRNA from 1 species
UACGAAGGGGGCGAGCGUUGUUCGGAUUUACUGGGCGUAAAGGGCGCGUAGGCGGCCUUCUAAGUCGAACGUGAAAUCCCCGGGCUCAACCCGGGAACUGCGUCCGAUACUGGAAGGCUUGAAUCCGGGAGAGGGAUGCGGAAUUCCAGGUGUAGCGGUGAAAUGCGUUGAUAUCCGCAGGAACUCCGGUGGCGAAGGCGGCGUGCUGGACCCCUUCUGACGCUGAGGCGCGAAAGCCAGGGGAGCGAACGGG